UACGUAGGAGGCGAGCGUUGUCCGGAGUUACUGGGCGUAAAGCGCAUGCAGGCGGUCAACUCAGUCUGUGCUGACAGUUCCCGGCUUAACUGGGAAAGUGGUACGGAUACUGGUUGACUUUGAGGGCUUCAGAGGGAUGUGGAAUUCCUGGUGUAGGGGUGAAAUCCGGUAGAUCUACGAAUGAACGCCAAAAAGCGAAAGGCAACUCCUCUGGUUUCCUACCGAGCCUGGGG
rnacentral:rRNA from 1 species